CUGAGUAAACAAGAUGAGCGCAUUUGCAGAAGCUGGCUGAGUGCUCUACAGAAAUUGGCAGUCACUGCUCAGGACCAAGCCCAGGCAGAGGAUGUGAAGGGCUUGGAAACAAGGGACUAAGAAGUAAUUUUGGCUUAUUUGACAUAAUACCUUAGCAACAAGCCGUUCUGUCACAGAAGGAAAGAAGCUCUAUUUUAGCAUAGUCAUUAUCUCAAAUGAAGAAUAUAAGAAAAGGUAUUUGAAGCUGGGUUCUCACAAGGGAUUUUAUUUGGAACUGUAGGUGAAGGAUGAGAAGGUCUAUGAGUCCCUGCCAUAAAUGUUUGAACAGAUGAUGACGGUGGGUUUUCCUCUCCCAGGAGGUUCCUCCUGUCAGUGGAAUUUGCAAAGGUGCGAGCCAUACUACCAAAUGCAAGAAUUUAAAGAUUGUGGAAGAUUUGAGGCUUUCAAAACUCACUUGGCAAACCCCUGGAAAACUGCAAGCUUUCCUAGUUUAAUGGUGUACAGACCUCUGUCUCCUCACCAACCCCCCAAUAUUUUACGACAUCCAGGAUUCGUGAGAUCACAUGUGUUUUCCCCAAAGCUGAUGAAUUACAGGUUACCUCUCUGAGCUGGGGACCAGAAGGGAAGAACUGAACAGAUCCAAGUGGCACAAAAAGGUUAUUUGGUCGUUAAGGCUAUUGGACUCCCAGUCCUCGCAAACUGUCUGUAUGGGCUAGUGCUGUUUGUGACACGACAUGCUGUCCUAGUCUCCCAUCAUCCACAGUCCUCCUGGACGGCAUUUCUUCAUUUUCCUUUUAUGGCAGCCAGGACAGGAAGGU